GGUCGAUCCAGCUGGUCUGCUUGGAGUUGUGGUCGAUGUAGAAGAUUUUGCCGUCGUAAUCCCGCGCCUCCUCCCAGCCAUCGGGAGACUUAAUUUGAUGAUCCACUGGAAUGUCAUCCCCGAUGAAAUGUACAGCUGUUACAGCUCUAACUUGUACUAUCCACAAGUGGCUCUGAAACAGGAGCUGCAGCAAUCUCCCUGAAAAUUUCCAUAGUUCAGCUUUCACAGCUGGCACACAGAACUGACUACAGAAUGAAUUAUGAGACAUGCAUAGGAUAAAGUACUGAGCAAUUACAUGUUUUGAAUCAAGACAUACUCUGAACCUGAAAGUAAGUGCAGAGAAUGGUUUUAAAUUAGUGCUUGUCCGAUUAAAAGUUUAGAGUAGAAAAUGAAAAGUUUAGAAUGGAAAUGAUGUGAUACAAGGUUUGCCUCAAAGUUAGCUAUGGAAAUGUGAGUAACGUUUUCAUGGUAAAAUUCUCAAACUCACACCAAGCCACUUAUUAAACUAACUUUAGCAUUCAGUUCUGUUAAGUCUGAUUCAUACUGCUGAAGUUUUUGUGGAAA